GACGAACGCUGGCGGCGUGCUUAAUACAUGCAAGUCGAACGGAAAGGCCCUGCUUUUGUGGGGUGCUCGAGUGGCGAACGGGUGAGUAACACGUGAGUAACCUGCACUUGACUUUGGGAUAACUUCAGGAAACUGGGGCGAAUACAGGAUAGGAGCUCCUGAUGCAUGGUGGGGGUUGGAAAGUUUCGGCGGUUGGGGAUGGACUCGCGGCUUAUCAGCUUGUUGGUGGGGUAGUGGCUUACCAAGGCUUUGACGGGUAGCCGGCCUGAGAGGGUGACCGGCCACAUUGGGACUGAGAUACGGCCCAGACUCCUACGGGAGGCAGCAGUGGGGAAUAUUGCACAAUGGGCGGAAGCCUGAUGCAGCAACGCCGCGUGCGGGAUGACGGCCUUCGGGUUGUAAACCGCUUUCGCCUGUGACGAAGCGUGAGUGACGGUAAUGGGUAAAGAAGCACCGGCUAACUACGUG
rnacentral:rRNA from 1 species